UCUCUUGCCCUUGUACGGUGCACGGAUGUCAGUAUUUUCCCAUUUGUGCAAUGACACAACAACAAUCUGCACAAUAUUUGCAAUGGCUGUAAAAUAUGUCAAACCAAAACCUCUGCUAAUUUUCCAAUAACACGUAAAAAAAUAAUUGCAACCCUGUGCCAGCAGUCAUCCUACAUAAAAACAUAUUUGUCCGUUAAAUUGUUGAGUAAGUUCUUAAUAAAAAUGAAUGAAGAAGGUGUGCCCUCAGCUAAAAAGGAAAAGUAGCAGCCAAAUAAAAAGUGGAAGGAGACGGAGGUGCUUUCAAUCAUAGACUUUUUUAUAGAGGAGGUAGAAAUUGCGGCUCCAAGUGGUCAAUUCCACCCCCAUCGUCAUUCCAAUUUUCAACACAGAAAAUGUCUAUGGAAGAGAAUUGACUUGAAUUUUGAAAAUAUAAAUGUGAAAAAGAAAAGAAAAUUCAUGAAAAAAAAAG